CCUGGCUGUGUCCCCACGCACCUGAGAGCUCUGCUGCUGAACUGGCUCAUCUGAAGAUUCACCAGGCAUCAGAAGAACAGAUGGAAGACCUCAGUCUCUGCCUUCCCAGCUGGAUGACUUUGCGUUCCUAGAACUGUUAGUCCACCUUCGGGAAAGCAUUUCUUUGACAUGUGUUCCCAGGGGUAGAACGUGUCUUUUUGUUCCUUGCAAAGCAGAGGAGCUGCCUGGGUGGAGGACGGGAUGGAGCUGUUUGCUCACUACGUUCUCACUACCUUGUAGCCCUGCUGUAAGUGUCAGGGCUCUGUGCUCAGGUGGUCCUCAAAGUCUAUCCAAAAGACCUCCUGGUUUCACUCCCCAUGGGUGCAGCUCUGGCCCUCAGAUCCAGGGCGCCUUCUGUCCCUAGACCCAAGGCACAGCUCCGAGGCUCACUCACUUGUGCUCGGGUGUUCUGGCAUCGCUGAUGUAUUUGGCCAGCUGUUAUUUUCUCUGAAAUCUGUAUGAAAUCAAUAUGUCCCUCUGAAAUGCCAUUACUCCUGACAUGAAAACAAAUGCUAUUCUGCUGCUGUGGAAAGCCAAGAUUUAUCUUUUUAAGAGACCUGUCUGCCGAUAGCAUCUUAAUACCUUGAAGAGGUCACCAGGACUGGAAUGAUUGAAACUUUCAACUGCAUGAUACUUUUUUCUGGUGUUAAGCAAAACCAUUUCAAGCGAGCCUUGUAAAUUCUUGCCAGCCUGAGGCAAUCAGUUCCUUUAAAUGGUAUUUCCUAUUUUAAAAUACCAUAAAAUAGAAAUAAGUGCAUAGGGAAAUAUACAGUCCACCCACUGCUGCUGUAUGUCUUUAUGGUAUAGGCAUACAUUAUAUACCCUCCUAUGUGUCUGCCAACUGCUCAGCUUAAAAGGUUCUCAGGCUUUCCUUUCUAAAUCAAAUUUUGUGCAGAGAAUUAUAAAAGCCUAAUGAGAUAUGCAAAUAAAAUGAUUUGCCAAUUAACUUGCA
rnacentral:lncRNA from 1 species